UGUCCAGACGCGGGAAUCGAACCCACAACCUUCUGCUUACCGGGCAGGUGCCAUGUCCACUAGGCUAUCCUGGAC